rnacentral:tRNA from 1 species
GCCCGCCUAGCUCAAUCGGAUAGAGCGUCAGACUUUUAUGUCCGUCUAGAUCCGAAAAUCUGAAGGCUGCGAGUUCGACCCUCGCGGUGGGCU